UACGUAGGGUGCAAGCGUUAAUCGGAAUUACUGGGCGUAAAGCGUGCGCAGGCGGUUGUGCAAGACAGAUGUGAAAUCCCCGGGCUCAACCUGGGAACUGCAUCUGUGACUGCAUUGCUGGAGUACGGCAGAGGGGGAUGGAAUUCCGCGUGUAGCAGUGAAAUGCGUAGAUAUGCGGAGGAACACCGAUGGCGAAGGCAAUCCCCUGGGCCUGUACUGAUGCUCAUGCACGAAAGCGUGGGGAGCAAACAGG
rnacentral:rRNA from 1 species